GAUGAACGCUGACAGAAUGCUUAACACAUGCAAGUCUUUGGCGAAGCUGUGCUUGCACAGCCUAGCCAAGGCGGACGGGUGAGUAACGCGUAAGGAACUUGCCCUGCAGUCAGGGAUAACAGACGGAAACGACUGAUAAGACCUGGUAAAGUCAGGCGGACUCAUGUCCAGCCUGAUGAAUAGAGAUGCUGCAGGAGAGCCUUGCGUCCUAUUAGCUUGUUGGUGGGGUAACGGCCCACCAAGGCGAUGAUAGGUAGCCGGCCUGAGAGGGUGGACGGCCACAAGGGGACUGAGAUACGGCCCUUACUCCUACGGGAGGCAGCAGUGGGGAAUAUUGGACAAUGGGGGCAACCCUGAUCCAGCAAUUCUGUGUGCACGAUGAAGGUUUUCGGAUUGUAAAGUGCUUUCAGCAGGGAAGAAAAAAAUGACGGUACCUGCAGAAGAAGCGACGGCUAAAUACGUGCCAGCAGCCGCGGUAAUACGUAUGUCGCAAGCGUUGUCCGGAAUUAUUGGGCAUAAAGGGCAUCUAGACGGCCAGAUAAGUCUGGGGUGAAAACUUGCGGCUCAACCGCAAGCCUGCCCUGGAAACUAUGUGGCUAGAGUACUGGAGAGGUGGACGGAACUGCACGAGUAGAGGUGAAAUUCGUAGAUAUGUGCAGGAAUGCCGAUGAUGAAGAUAGUUCACUGGACGGUAACUGACGCUGAAGUGCGAAAGCUAGGGGAGCAAACAGG
rnacentral:rRNA from 1 species